AAGGGGACUGGGCCUUGCCUGGACCACCCACCUGGCUUGGGCCAUGCCAGCUGCUCUGCUGCAGUGUGUGGUUGCUCAAGUUUAGCUACAAGGCCAUAUAAGAGUCCUUCCAAGAGGAGGAUGGGGCGAACUUUCCAGCUAGAGUUUGACCUAAGGAAGGAUUUCAAAACUUACCCCUGCAAUGCUUUAACAGCAUUCAAGUCAAAUGGAGGCUUUUCAUACAGUGAAAUCCACAGUAGCUCUCUGUGGUAUGUAGGGCUACUAGCCAGAUAUACCUGAAAGCAAGCGCUUGCCUUGCUCUCCCUCUGCCACAGAACGAUGACACAGGGAUAACAAAGGGAAAUACCAGGGAAUGUCAAGUCAAACAAAUCGUAGAUCUUCUCUGGCGGCUUCUUUGACCUUGUUCUGAGUGAACACCGUGUACAUCAAGGAAGAUAAUUACAACUUUUUCAAGUCUUCUAAAAUCGAACUCCCUGUGGUGGCGACCAGUAUCUUCAAACUCAUACCAGAGUAAAGCCUUGUCUCCAGCCUGCUAAUCUACCCUUGCAGAUUUUUUGGACUUGCCAGACUCUAAAAUCAUAUCCAUUUGGAGUUCUUUCUGAUGCAUUAUGUGAGAAAAACAAGCAAACAAAUGAACACUUAUUUGUAUUUGAAUUGCACUAAAUUUAUACAUGAAACUGAAAAAAACUGAUAUCUUUAUGAAGCUGCAUAAUCCUAUCCAAGGACAGACGUCUCCUUCCAUUUGCUUUUGCUUUACUAAUUUGAAUCUAUGUUAUUUGUUUUGGAUACAUCUGGAAUUGACUUUUUUGCAUGGUGUAAGAGCCAGCUCUUCUUCAGGAUAAGCAUGCCUGGUUUCUUCAACUUAUUCCACAAGAGUGAACAAGUAAGAAAUAACAGUUCUUCCUGGAUCAGCCCUCUCCCGUCUGUCAUCUCCAACAGAUACAAAGCCAGCUUUAAGAAGACCAAACCUACAAAAAUCAUUCAUGCUUUCUGCCUCCAUGUUUUUCUUUCCAACCUAGUUCCUCCAGAAAAUGUAAAAGAGCAACCGAACCGUCAACUGGUACAAUGACUUCUACACAUCAGACCUCGGCCACGCCACAGUCAUCAGAUUAUUCUAUCACAGGGUCUCUCAACCGUGGAAUAUGGUCUCCAAGGGAAACAAGCCACAGAGGGCUCAGGAGCAUUGCUAUAAAGAGUAGGCAAAUGGAAAUCUUUCCCCAAAGGGCACACUGGGAUUGUUAGGCGAGGGCUGCUCAAUCCAUUAAAAGUUUAAACUCGAAAAAAAAAAAGAAAAAAAAAACCUUUUGAAAAAA
rnacentral:lncRNA from 1 species